rnacentral:rRNA from 1 species
AUGUUUGCUUUUAGCAUUGCAAGUUUUAUGCGGAGGGUGCCGACUCGGUUUCGUCUGAGCCCCCUUCAAUCUUUUUCAUGUCCCCUCCGCUCUUUGGCUUGUGCUCUCGCUAGCCGGACAGCCGCUCUGCGGUCUGUGGCUGAGAGUGGGCCGUGUAGUGGAGUGUACAGUACUCGAACUCUGGGAGCAGAUUCGACCGAGCAGAUACUCAUAAAGGAAACGGCCGGGUCGCCCGAACCAUUUUUCUUCCCGGAUGUUUUUCGCGUGGGUGGCCUCCAGCGUUCGCUCUUGCUAGCCGGACAGCCGCUCUGCGGUCUGUGA